rnacentral:rRNA from 1 species
AACGAACACUGGCGGCGUGCCUAACACAUGCAAGUCGAACGGGAUCCAGAGCUUGCUCUGGUGAGAGUGGCGCACGGGUGAGUAACGCGUAGAUAAUCUACCUGAUGAUCCGGGAUAACACUUCGAAAGGGGUGCUAAUACCGGAUAAGCCCACGGGGUCUUUGGACUCUGCGGGAAAUGGGGGGGACCUCCGGGCCUUCCGUCAUCCGAUGAGUCUGCGUACCAUUAGCUAGUUGGGAGGGUAAAGGCCUACCAAGGCGACGAUGGUUAGCUGGUCUGAGAGGAUGAUCAGCCACACUGGAACUGAGACACGGUCCAGACUCCUACGGGAGGCAGCAGUGGGGAAUUUUGCACAAUGGGGGAAACCCUGAUGCAGCAACGCCGCGUGAGUGAUGAAGGGCUUCGGCUUGUAAACUCCUGUCAUGCGGGAACAAACCCCCGGGCUUAACUGGCCCGGGGCUGAUAGUACCGCAAGAGGAAGAGACGGCUAACUCUGUGCCAGCCGCCGCCGUAACAC